GGAUAGCGGAGAAAUUCCAAUCGAACUCGGAGAUAGCUGGUUCUCCUCGAAAUAGUUUUAGGACUAGCCUUGUUUCGUAGCACAUGGGGGUAGAGCACUGAAUGAGGUAGGGGCCAAACUAGGUUACUGAACUCUAUCAAACUACGAAUACCAUGUGUGUAAGAACAGGAGUCAGACUGCGGGAGCUAAGUUCCGUGGUCAAAAGGGAAAGAGCCCAGAUCGUCAAUUAAGGUCCCAAAGAUAUAGUUAAGUGGAAAACGAUGUGAUUUUGCGUAAACAACCAGGAUGUUGGCUUAGAAGCAGCCAUUCAUUCAAAGAGUGCGUAAUAGCUCACUGGUCGAGUGAAGUUGCGCGGAAAAUUACCGGGGCUAAGCUAUACACCGAAAUUGCGGAUUUACAUUUGAAAGACAAUGUAAGUGGUAGAGGAGCAUUCUGUAGUAGGAAGAAGCAUGACCGUAAGGACAUGUGGACGAAGCAGAAGAGAGAAUGCUGGAAUAAGUAGCGAGAGGAUGGUGAGAAUCCAUCCCGUCGAAAAUCUAAGGUUUCCCAGGGAAGGUUCGUCCGCCUGGGGUAAGUCGGGACCUAAGGAGAGGCCGAAAGGCGUAUCUGAUGGAUAGCAGGUUGAAAUUCCUGCACUACGAAUAUACUUAAAAGAUUCAAGGGACGCAGAAGUGGAAGAUAACCAAGUAAGAGGAAAAGCUUGGCUCGCAAGAGGGAGUGAAAAUUAAAAGUAACGAAGUAUCAAGAAGCACGCUGACGAGAAAAGCUUGAAGAUAUUGUAUAUAAGUACCCGUACCGCAAACCGACACAGGUAGAUGAGGAGAGGAUCCUAAGACGAGCGGGAGAAGCAUUGUUAAGGAACUCGGCAAACUAACCCCGUAACUUCGGAAUAAGGGGUGCUGAUGUAACAGUCAGUCGCAGAGAAAAGGCCCAAGCAACUGUUUAACAAAAACAUAGGUUUCUGCUAAAUCGAAAGAUGAAGUAUAGGAGCUGACGCCUGCCCAGUGCUGGAAGGUCAAGGGGAGAUGUUAGAAGAAAUUCGAAGCAUAGAACCAAAGCCCCAGUGAACGGCGGCCGUAACUAUAACGGUCCUAAGGUAGCGAAAUUCCUUGUCAGGUAAGUUCUGACCCGCACGAAAGGCGUAAUGAUUUGGGCACUGUCUCGACAAUGUACCCGGCGAAAUUGUAGUACUAGUGAAGAUGCUAGUUACCUGCGACAAGACAGAAAGACCCCAUGGAGCUUUACUGCAGCUUGAUACUGGGUUUCGGUAAUUUAUGUACAGGAUAGGUGGGAUACAAAGAAGCAAAUGCGCCAGCAUUUGUGGAGUAGACGUUGGGAUACCACCCUUAAAUUACUGAAAUUCUAACUAGAAGUCCUAAGCGGGCUUGAGGACAAUGUCAGGCGGGCAGUUUGACUGGGGCGGUCGCCUCCUAAAGAGUAACGGAGGCGCGCAAAGGUUUCCUCAGCGCGGACAGAAAUCGCGCGAAAGAGUGCAAAGGCAGAAGGAAGCUUAACUGAGAGACAGACAUGUCGACCAGAUACGAAAGUAGGUCUUAGUGAUCCGGUGGUAGUAAGUGGAAAUGCCAUCGCUCAACGGACAAAAGUUACCCUGGGGAUAACAGGCUUAUCUCCCCCAAGAGUUCACAUCGACGGGGAGGUUUGGCACCUCGAUGUCGGCUCAUCGCAUCCUGGAGCGGAAGUACGUUCCAAGGGUUGGGCUGUUCGCCCAUUAAAGCGGCACGCGAGCUGGGUUCAGAACGUCGUGAGACAGUUCGGUCCAUAUCCGGUAUACGCGCAAGAGAAUUGAACGGAGUCUUCCUUAGUACGAGAGGACCGGGAAGAGCGAACCUCCAGUGUAUCGGUUAUCCUGCCAAGGGUAAACGCCGAGUAGCUGUGUUCGAAGCGGAUAAGUGCUGAAAGCAUAUAAGUACGAAGCCCACCGUGAGAUGAGUUCUCUCAUUGAGUAAUCAAGUAAGUCCCCAUGCAGAUCACGUGGUUGAUAGGCGGGAGGUGUAAGUAUGGCAACAUAUUCAGCCGAACCGUACUAAUAGGACGAGGGCUUUUCCU
rnacentral:rRNA from 1 species